rnacentral:rRNA from 1 species
GAUGAACGCUGGCGGCGUGCCUAAUACAUGCAAGUCGAGCGAACAGAUGAGGAGCUUGCUCCUCUGACGUUAGCCGCGGACGGGUGAGUAACACGUGGAUAACCUACCUAUAAGACUGGGAUAACUUCGGGAAACCGGAGCUAAUACCGGAUAAUAUAUUGAACCGCAUGGUUCAAUAGUGAAAGACGGUUUUGCUGUCACUUAUAGAUGGAUCCGCGCCGCAUUAGCUAGUUGGUAAGGUAACGGCUUACCAAGGCAACGAUGCGUAGCCGACCUGAGAGGGUGAUCGGCCACACUGGAACUGAGACACGGUCCAGACUCCUACGGGAGGCAGCAGUAGGGAAUCUUCCGCAAUGGGCGAAAGCUUGACGGAGCAACGCCGCGUGAGUGAUGAAGGUCUUCGGAUCGUAAAACUCUGUUAUUAGGGAAGAACAAAUGUGUAAGUAACUAUGCACGUCUUGACGGUACCUAAUCAGAAAGCCACGGCUAACUACGUG